rnacentral:rRNA from 1 species
CCUCAAAUCAGGUAGGACUACCCGCUGAACUUAAGCAUAUCAAUAAGCGGAGGAAAAGAAACUAACAAGGAUUCCCGUAGUAACGGCGAGUGAAGUGGGAAAAGCUCAAAUUUAAAAUCUGACCGUCAUGCUGGCUGGUCCGAGUUGUAACCUAGAGAAGCGUCUUUCCGUCGCCUGAACCGUGUACAAGUCUCUUGGAACAGAGCAUCAUAGAGGGUGAGAAUCCCGUCUUUGACACGGAGUGCUUGUGACAAUGUGAUACGCUUUCGAAGAGUCGAGUUGUUUGGGAAUGCAGCUCAAAACGGGUGGUAAAUUCCAUCUAAAGCUAAAUAUUGGCGAGAGACCGAUAGCGAACAAGUACCGUGAGGGAAAGAUGAAAAGAACUUUGGAAAGAGAGUUAAACAGUACGUGAAAUCGUUGAAGGGGAAACGCUUGGAGUCAGUCACGUCGGACAGGAAUUCAACCUAGCUUGCUUACGCUCGCUUGGCGUACUUCCUGGAUUUCCAACGGGUCAGCAUCGAUUUCGAUCGUUGGACAAGGUCCAUCGGAAUGUGACAUCUCCUUUGUGAGAUGUGUUAUAGCCUUUGGUCGCAUACGACGGUUGGGAUCGAGGAACUCGGCACGCCGUCCCUUCUGGGGGUGGUUGUCUGCUUAGGAUGCUGGCAUAAU